rnacentral:rRNA from 1 species
CCUACGGGUGGCUGCAGUGGGGAAUAUUGGACAAUGGGCGAAAGCCUGAUCCAGCCAUGCCGCGUGUGUGAAGAAGGCCUUCGGGUUGUAAAGCACUUUCAGUGGGGAAGAAAGCCUUGGGGCUAAUACCCUCGAGGAAGGACAUCACCCACAGAAGAAGCACCGGCUAACUCCGUGCCAGCAGCCGCGGUAAUACGGAGGGUGCGAGCGUUAAUCGGAAUUACUGGGCGUAAAGCGCGCGUAGGCGGUCUGAUAAGCCGGUUGUGAAAGCCCCGGGCUCAACCUGGGAACGGCAUCCGGAACGGUCAGGCUAGAGUGCAGGAGAGGAAGGUAGAAGUCCCGGUGUAGCGGUGAAAUGCGUAGAGAUCGGGAGGAAUACCAGUGGCGAAGGCGGCCUUCUGGACUGACACUGACGCUGAGGUGCGAAAGCGUGGGUAGCAAACAGGAUUAGAUACCCGAGUAGUC